rfam:Spizellomyces punctatus DAOM BR117 chromosome Tnknown supercont1.11, whole genome shotgun sequence.
GCUCGCGUAGUCUAGUGGUUAUGACGUCUGCUUUACACGCAGAAGGUCCUCGGUUCAACCCCGAGCGUGAGCA